AUAGAGGAUCGGUCUGCCGCGUAGGGGGUUCAAAACUCCUAUGAGGAACGUCCGGGCAACGCAGAGCACCAUACUUCCUAACGGGAAGCUACUCGUGAGGGUAGAGUAGUGUAACAGAAAAUAACCGCCCCACUUGUGGGGUAAGGGUGAAAAGGUAGGGUAAGAGCCUACCGGGCAUGGUAGGAAUGCCAUGUGCCGUACAUCUUAUGGGUUGCAAGAUCAUGUAAACCAGCGCGAUGAGGGUUGCUCGCCCCAGCUGGAGGGUAGAUUGCUAGAGCUGUGUGGUGACGCACAGUCGAGAUAAAUGGCAGACGCUUAGGUUAUGGCCUAGGUACAGAACCCGGCUUAUAGAUCCUCUAUCUGU
rnacentral:RNase_P_RNA from 1 species